GUCCCCGUGGCGGAACUGGCAUACGCGUAGCGCUUAGAACGCUAUCCCUUUUUAGGGUUGUGGGUUCAAAUCCCGCCGGGGACA
rnacentral:tRNA from 5 species